AUUGAACGCUGGCGGCAUGCCUUACACAUGCAAGUCGAACGGUAACAGGUCUUCGGAUGCUGACGAGUGGCGAACGGGUGAGUAAUACAUCGGAACGUGCCCGAGAGUGGGGGAUAACGAAGCGAAAGCUUUGCUAAUACCGCAUACGAUCUCAGGAUGAAAGCAGGGGACCGCAAGGCCUUGCGCUCCCGGAGCGGCCGAUGGCAGAUUAGGUAGUUGGUGGGAUAAAAGCUUACCAAGCCGACGAUCUGUAGCUGGUCUGAGAGGACGACCAGCCACACUGGGACUGAGACACGGCCCAGACUCCUACGGAGGCAGCAGUGGGAAUUUUGGACAAUGGGCGCAAGCCUGAUCCAGCCAUGCCGCGUGCAGGAUGAAGGCCUCGGUUGUAACUGACUUUGUACGGUAACGAAAAGAACGUACCUGGUUAAUACCUGGGUCCAUG
rnacentral:rRNA from 1 species